UGUAUGUAUGUGUCUGUGUGUGUCUCUGUAUGUGUGUGACACAGACACAUACAUACAGAGACACACAUGCACACGCAUACAUA